GGGCGGACCCUGGCGGCCUCCCUGGCGGCGGCGGCCGGCGCUCUGGGGAGGACGCGGCUUCCUGGAGGGGGCGCACACCGUCCUGAGGCCGCCCUUGACCUGACCUGACGUCUUUUCUCGCCUCUCAGCCGGGGGAGGGGGGUACCUCUCUAUCCUACCCCACGGGGAUGCCGGUCGCCUGAGGAGCCCCCAGCGCAGACCUCAGUGGUCCUCACCUUGCACAUUUCUUAACCCCACAAAGCCCCUAAUCCCGAGGAGCCCUGGACCCGUUUCCGCAAGAAGUUCCUUCCUUUCAUCCAACCCCAGGGGCUCCUCGUUGAAACUCCUUCUGAGCCUCCCUCGCCCCUAACGCCGGGUCCCAGGUCUCACUCCGUCACCCGAGGAGUCCCCUAGCCGCCGCCCCGGGACCCAGCCCCUCCUCUUCAACUGCUUCCUCUGCAGGCCUCGCCAAUGCUUCCUAAACGGCUCUGCGCUCCUUGAGACCCUCAUCUUCGUGGGGAGGGAGACCCUUCCUGCUUGGGUCACCGACCCACGCGACUCUCUUCCUUGGAGCGGCGUGGAGGCAGAGGGUGUGUGUGAAGGAAACCUCUUGCCUUCCACGUGUCUUUCGUGCCCUUCCCUUUCUGUAUCGGAAUCAGAAGCCAGAAGGUCUCACCCUUGGAUUUGGGGAAAGGAGGGGGCUGAGGGUGACCACAAGCAGCGUUUAAUGGUGCACAGCCAGCUGUAUUGGCCGCUAGGAUGCAAAGCACUUAGAGAACUCUGUAACUUCAGGUUUGGAAGCCUAGCUUCGACAUACCUUGUUUCAUUCUUUCGGGAGGGCGUAGCAAAGGAUUUGGUUCAAGAAGGGUUAAGUUUUGUUCGGGAAUGUGAAUGCCAGUUGUGCAUUUAAUAGUCAAAACUGGAGUUUCCGGAUAAAGAGGGCAGCUCUGAAUUUAAUGACCGGACCUCACAUCUUGUAGGUCUCUGUACCGUGAAGAUCCUGGAAGCAAGGCGUUCUCUGGGGUUUCCCUGAGGUGCUGCCUCUCAGGGAUCACGGAGCUAGUGGGGAGUGAUCUGUUGAAACGUCAACACUGCCAAUCUGGCUGGAGCCAGAGUGUGCGAAGAUAACUCACUCACUAUCGCGUGCUUAUUUUGUGCCAGCCACUUCGCCAAGAAGAUUCCCCAGAGGGCAGGGAUUCAAAGGAGUGAGUGCAGGCUGGACCCCCACCCCUUGCUGGAGCCUUCAUGUGAGGAGGACUGCAUGGUUGAUAUAUGUAAUGCAUCUACAUUGUGUAUCUGUCCACACUGAUUUAUUUAAAGCAUCCACACUGUAGCCAGGGACCUUAAACCCUAUCAUGGUCCCUUUUUUCCUUCUCCCUUCUCUUUCAUAUUCACUACAUUUCAUCCACUGGUAUUCUUUUAGUUCCUGGUAUAGUAUUUGUCUGUGUUCAUGCUCUUCUCUGCCUGAAAUCAUCUUUCAUCCUCACUUUCUUCUCAGUCUCCAUUAAAUAUUGGUUCUUCUGGGAAGUCUUCUCUAACCACUCGUCACUCACAUAUCCUAUUCCCUUAUCUUACUAUGUGAAAUCUUUCUUCCCUUGUAGAAUAUACACUCUUGGCACAUUUAAGCCACUCCAAAAAAAUCUUUUUGAGUAUGUGGAUUUUUUUUUUAACGUGUACAUAUUUUAAUCUUCACUCAGACUGGACUGCAUGAGAGCUUCUUGAGAGUUAAGACUGUGUAUUUUAUUCUUUUUUGUACCUCCUCUAUUAGGCCUUAGACAUAGAUGUGAUUAAAAAAAAAAAAAUGUACUGACUGAAUAUAAUCUAAUAGGUUCUAUGCUGGACUUCCUACCAAAUCCUGGUUUUGCGUGUACUCUAAUUCAAUUAUCUGAAGACCCGAGACCAAAAUUGACCAGUAGAGGGCAGCAGACAACUGUGUUGUGAGGAGAAGGAGGCCUCAUGGUUUACAAAAUGGAGGAUCUGGAUCCAGAAUAAGCUGGUUGAGAUUGUUUGGUACUUGAGAUACUACUUUUCAUUCUCAAAUGCUUCCCUUGUAGUGUUGGAGGUGAGAGGCCAAGACUUUUGAACUGUUAUGCACAAGAGAGAAUUUCAAAAUUUUACCAUCCCCAUUGCCCAUCACAAUUUCUUCACCCUUCCAUCCCAGCAAAUCUUAUCUUUCUAUCCUUCCGUUUUUCUUUGUGUUUCAUAAUCAAGCCCCCUUUCUCACUAUUCUUACAUAUUUAUUAUAUUCUACCCACUGGCAUUCUUUAGUUUCUGAUUCAAUAUUUGGCCUUGCUUUUCUGCUCUGAAGUUACCUUCUGCACCUAGGCUUGCAAGCCCCACUCAUUUCAACCUCCUUGAGAAGCUUUCAUGAAUAGCCUUUCAUAACAAAUUAAAAUUCUCCUACUCUACUCAUUCAAUCCCUCAUUAAUCCAGGACAAACAAAACAAUACCUUCACUUGACACUUCCAAAUCACCAGGUUGUUUUCUACUUUUUUUCUGUUUUUAAAUAUAUACCCUCUGCCUCUAGCUCCAUGCUAUCUUUAAUACCUUGUGGUAGAAAACUUUGCUAUGUUUGAAGCCGUUGAUUUCUUACUGGGCUUGAGAGACAUUGUACAUUCUUGCUUUUCUCUUAGAACAGUAUUUCUCCAUCUCAUUUAUUUUCUCCCUUCUUCUGUGAAGUUCUACCAAAGCUUUGCUCUUCUCCUCCUCCCAAGCCAGGAACCCCAAACCACUAUUCCGAGCAUGAAUUUUAGCCACACUACGGUCCUAUAGCUCAAGCUGCCUUGUUGUUUAGUCGCUAAGUUAUGUCUGACUCUUUUGCGACCCCAAGGACUGUAGCCUGCCAGGCUCCUCUCUGUCCAUGGGAUUUCCCAGGCAAGAGUACUGGCGUGGGUUGCCAUUUCCUUCUCUAGGGGUCUUCCCAACCUGGGAAUUGAACCUGCAUCUCCUGCUUGACAGGCAGAUUCUUUACUGCUGAGUGACCAGGGAAGCCCCAUAUCUCUAGCUGCCUAUAUGUCUGCAUGGCUGACCUAAUGUCACCUAAAACACAAAAUUUUUCCCUUCCCUGAAUCACGUUUUCAACUUUUUUCAUUUGUUAAUACUAUUCUCUCAAUCCUAUCUAGUUUCCAACCUUAAGAAUUAUCAGACAUUUUCUUUUCUGCCAUACCCAUCAUUCAUCAGUCAUUGCUUCCUCCAUCGUAUCAUCUGUUUCAUGCUUUGUCACAGUGGCUUCUAGGUGCCCCACUUUCACCACAUUUAAAAAUCUCUGAAACACUGCUUUCAUCUUAUUAAUCUCAUCUAGGAAUUUCAGUGCCUCAUCUGUUCAAACACAUUCUCCUAUUAUCAAUAUGCCCUGCCUAAAUCACCCAUUUUUUCAGUCCUUGUGUCCUUGCAGUAACAUAGCCCCAAUCUAAAUGGGCUGAUGUCUCUUAAGUCACAGCCUCAUUCCUUCUUUCUCUCGUGAAGUUCCAUCUGGCUUCUCACCUUAAAACCAAUGACUAGUUAAUUCUACCCUAUACUGAUUUUUUUUUUAAGCUGUAGAUUCUUAGAUCUUAAUCAAAUUUGCUUUUAUGUGACUAAAAAGCUAAUGUGGGGAAAUCAAACAUGCAGGAACUCAUCUCCUUCCAAUUUGUCAACUUGUUCCAGACGCUACGAGGCUUGGAUCUCUGUACUUUAUCCAGUAAAGCAAGUCAUUAGAGGGCCCAAGCUGAAAUGAUCUCAACCUGUACUUAUUUCAGGAAUGCUAUCAUUGCACAAAACAUUUCUGGAGCUCCUUCAUGGCUAGUUUAUGAGCCACAUUUAAAUGACUGAUUACUUCAAAAUUACUUAAAAAAAAAAAAAAAGCUGAAGCAUUAGCCACCUUUAUCAUGCAUCUUAUUUUCCAGAUUUUGUUCCAGAUUACUUCUGGAAUUCCCUAAGGUCAAAUUCUUAGCCUUCUGUUCUCUUCU